GACGAACGUGACAGCAGUUGUUAGCAAACAUUGGUGGACUCUGCUGUGGCAGGGAAUGUAAUGGACUGGGAUUUCGUGAAGAGGCUAGUGAUAAAAGCAAUUCCCCUGCCCUUCCCCUUGAGUAUAAAGGCAUGGGAUGGGGGCCAGGCCUCCCUUGGCUAUGCAAACACAUCCCUCACCUACUGUGGUCCAGGAACCACAUCCUCGCGUGUGUGCCCUAUUGUGGUAAGCAGUGCCUCCCUAACAGGACAGUGCAUCUUCAGUCUACCUCG